GAUGAACGCUAGCGGCAGGCUUAAUACAUGCAAGUCGAGGGGCAUCAAGGUACACGAAAGUGUAUUGUUGGCGACCGGCGGACGGGUGAGUAAUAGGUAGGUAACCUACCUCAUACUGAGGCAUAGCUGGGAGAAAUUCCAGGUAAUUCCUCAUGAGGUUAUAUGACACAUGUGAUAUAAUCAAAGGUAUCGCAAGGUACUGGUAUGAGAUGGGCUUACUGACCAUUAGCUAGUUGGUGAGAUAAGAGCUCACCAAGGCGAAGAUGGUUAGGGGUUUUGAGAGAGAUCCCCCACAUUGGAACUGAGAUACGGUCCAGACUCCUACGGGAGGCAGCAGUAGGGAAUAUUGGGCAAUGGACGGAAGCCUGACCCAGCCAUGCCGCGUGAAGGAAGACGGCCUUAUGGGUUGUAAACUUCUUUACUAUGCGACUAACUAGAUUUACGAGAUAAUUCUAUAGAAUGUAGCAUAGCAAAAGCACCGG
rnacentral:rRNA from 1 species